rnacentral:rRNA from 1 species
UGGGGAAUAUUGAACAAUGGAGGAAACCCUGAUCCAGCAAUUCUGUGUGUGUGAAGAAGGUUUUAGGAUUGUAAAACACUUUUAGUAGGGAAGAAAAAAAUGACGGUACCUACAGAAGAAGCAACGGCUAAAUACGUGCCAGCAGCCGCGGUAAUACGUAUGUUGCGAGCGUUAUCCGGAAUUAUUGGGCUUAAAGGGCAUCUAGGCGGUAAGACAAGUUGAAGGUGAAAACCUGUGGCUCAACCAUAGGCUUGCCUACAAAACUGUUGAACUAGAGUACUGGAAAGGUGGGUGGAACUACACGAGUAGAGGUGAAAUUCGUAGAUAUGUGUAGGAAUGCCGAUGAUGAAGAUAACUCACUAGACAGAAACUGACGCUGAAGUGCGAAAGCUAGGGGAGCAAACAGG